UUCGCAAUGCCCGAAAGGGUGACGAAGCGACGCCGCGUGCGGGAAGAAGGCCUUCGGGUUGUAAACCGCUGUCGGGAGUUAAGAAAUGUAAGGAUGUUAAUAGCAUCUUUGCUUGACUAAGGCUCCGGAGGAAGCCACGGCUAACUCUGUGCCAGCAGCCGCGGUAAUACAGAGGCGGCAAGCGUUGUUCGGAAUUAUUGGGCGUAAAGAGCACGUAGGCGGCUAUGUAAGUCGGUUGUGAAAGCCUUCCGCUCAACGGGAGAACAGCAUCCGAUACUGCAUGGCUUGAGUGCGGGAGGGGAGAGUGGAACUUCUGGUGGAGCGGUGAAAUGCGUAGAUAUCAGAAGGAACGCCGGCGGCGAAAGCGGCUCUCUGGCCCAUAACUGACGCUGAGUGUGCGAAAGCUAGGGGAGCAAACGGAAUUAGAUACCCCGGUAGUCCUAGCCGUAAACGAUGGGCACUAAGUAGAGGGGUUUU
rnacentral:rRNA from 1 species